UUUUCAAUUGUAAUUUUAAGUCGGUUAUCUGAAUGCAUAAGAGAAAAACUGAAUUGUUUCUGCAUUGUUUUAUUUUUUUAUUUGUUUUUUCUUUGAAUUAUGCAAUUUAGAGAAUAUAUAAUGAAAAUGCAGAUGAUUUCCUGAAUUUAUAACCAUACUGUAUUUGUCAUCAUGACAAAUCUGCGUCAACUGUCUCACGUUUUCCAUAAUUAUAAUUUUGAUAAAUAUGUUAAAGUGUUGAGAAAAUGUUGAUAAACAUAUAAAUAUAGUUUAAAAUGAAGAAUACAACUUCAAUUUUUUUAAUAAUUUUACGUCUCCCAAUAGUUUUUUUGAUUUACCUCGCCAGGACCGCUCAAAAACUAAAUUUGAAAGCCAAAUGAUGUAUAUAAACCGAAACACUUAUAAGUGCUGAGAGGUCCUUGGAAUCUAAUAAUUUAAACUCGAUACAUAAUACUGUUACAGUUCAUUAAGAUUCCGAUUAUUCCGAAUUUGGAUAUUAAUAGCUAUGAAGAAUUAAAAUGAAACCACAUUUUGAACAAUCAAAUGAGCUUAUCAAUCCUUUGACAACUCUUUACCACGUCUGUCAAUAUGAUGACGUCAAUAUGAAAUAUCUCGGCAUGGUUUUGCUACUUGACAGUAAACGAAUCCCGACCUGGAAGUGAAUAGAAAGAUACUAUCAGAUGUUCAUCACACAGAUAAUGCUUGCAAGAUCUGCAGAUUGGAUUCAUGAACAUGAUUUAACCAAAACAUUCCAUGACAAAUGAAAAUAUAUUUUUGGAUGGAUGCAUGAUCAUCUUGGGCAUAUGUUAAUAUAAAACUUUGAGAUUUA
rnacentral:lncRNA from 1 species